rnacentral:misc_RNA from 1 species
AAAGUCGUAACAAGGUUUCCGUAGGUGAACCUGCGGAAGGAUCAUUAAAAAAUUAAUGAAUUGCCCCGGGGGGACGGAACAAUUUUCUUUCGGGAGAAUUUUCCGACCCCCCCCGGCGCGUAUUCAACCAACCCGCUCUUGUAUUUGGAUCAACAAACAAACAAAAACUAUAUAAUAAUAAAAAAAACUUUCAACAACGGAUCUCUUGGCUCUC